rnacentral:rRNA from 1 species
GCUGGCGGCGCGCCUAACACAUGCAAGUCGAGCGAGAACCAGGGCUUCGGCCCUGGGGACAGCGGCGAACGGGUGAGUAACACGUGGAUAACCAGCCCUCGGCACCGGAAUAGCCCGGGGAAACUCGGAUUAAUGCCGGAUAGCCCCACAUCCCUGCGGGGAACGUGGGAAAAGGUAGCUUCGGCCUCUGGCCGAGGAUGGGUCCGCGGUGGAUUAGCUUGUUGGCGGGGUAACGGCCCACCAAGGCGACGAUCCAUAGCUGGUCUGAGAGGACGAUCAGCCACACUGGGACUGAGACACGGCCCAGACUCCUACGGGAGGCAGCAGUGGGGAAUCUUGCGCAAUGGGCGAAAGCCUGACGCAGCGACGCCGCGUGCGGGAAGAAGGCCUUCGGGUUGUAAACCGCUUUCAGGAGGGACGAAGCCACUCGGGUUAAUAGCCCAGAGGGUGACGGUACCUCCAGAAGAAGCCCCGGCUAACUACGUGCCAGCAGCCGCGGUAAUACGUAGGGGGCAAGCGUUGUCCGGAUUCAUUGGGCGUAAAGAGCGUGUAGGCGGCCAGGUAGGUCGGUUGUGAAAACUGGAGGCUCA